rnacentral:misc_RNA from 1 species
AAGUCGUAACAAGGUUUCCGUAUUCGUACAGAGCUAGUGACACUGUCAGACACUAACAAGCAGAGGAAUGCCAGGCCACUUACCUCGCGCUACAACCGCUCUCUUCGCAGAGAUCCCUGAAUCAAAACUGUUCGGCGAUGAUUUACCAGGGAUUGCUACUUUCUAACAAAGGCGUGGUUCGCAAUAAAAGUUCACGGGGGGUUUAACGUUGGAUACGUGUUAAUGAUCCUUCCGCAGGUUCACCUAAUGGCGCAGUCACGAUCGCUAGAGGCCGACACGGCCGGCGACCGGGUCACCGGGCAUAGACCCCCCUAUCACCUUUGCAUGAAAACGGGCCUGCGCUUAAUUGUGCGGCCACCAAACUCGAACAACUGUUAACAAUGGAUAUCUUGGUUCUC